GACGAACGCUGGCGGCGUGCCUAAUACAUGCAAGUAGAACGCUGAAGGAGGAGCUUGCUUCUCUGGAUGAGUUGCGAACGGGUGAGUAACGCGUAGGUAACCUGCCUGGUAGCGGGGGAUAACUAUUGGAAACGAUAGCUAAUACCGCAUAAUAGUAGAUGUUGCAUGACAUUUGCUUAAAAGGUGCAAUUGCCUCACUACCAGAUGGACCUGCGUUGUAUUAGCUAGUUGGUGAGGUAACGGCUCACCAAGGCGACGAUGCAUAGCCGACCUGAGAGGGUGAUCGGCCACACUGGGACUGAGACACGGCCCAGACUCCUACGGGAGGCAGCAGUAGGGAAUCUUCGGCAAUGGACGGAAGUCUGACCGAGCAACGCCGCGUGAGUGAAGAAGGUUUUCGGAUCGUAAAGCUCUGUUGUAAGAGAAGAACGAGUGUGAGAGUGGAAAGUUCACACUGUGACGGUAUCUUACCAGAAAGGGACGGCUAACUACGUG
rnacentral:rRNA from 1 species